AUGGGACCUGCCUACGGCCCAUCUCCGGCCUUGGCCCUGUCAUCUGUGAAUGUGGGUGACGGUCCACCUCGCCGCCCCGGCCUGAGGGUUAGCAGAGGCCCGGAGAUGAGGAAGGAGUGUGUUACGGGCCCUGGGGAAGUGUGUGUGUGUGUGUGUGUGUGUGUGUGUGUGUGUGUGUGCACCCUGGGGAAGUGUGUGUGUGUACUGUGUUACAUGUGUCCUGUGUAUGCAUGUACACCUCAGGGAAGUGUGUGUGUGUAUACUAUGUAUGCGUGUGUACCCUGGGGAAGUGUGUGUGUGUACUAUGUUACAUGUGUCCUGUGUAUGCAUGUACACCCCAGGGAAGUGUGUGUGUGUGUUACAUGUAUGCAUGUACAUCCCGGGGAAGUGUUUGUGUGGUGUGUGUGUACUGUGUUACAUAUGUCCUGUGUAUGCAUGUGCACCCUGGGGAAGUGUGUGCGUGUGUACUGUUACAUGUGUCCUGUGUUACAUGUGUCCUGUGUAUGCAUGUGCACCCCAGGGAAGUGUGUGUGUAUUGUGUAUGCAUGUGCACCCUGGGGAAGUGUGUAUGUGUGUACUAUUACAUGUGUCCUGUGUUACAUGUGUCCUGUGUAUGCAUGUACAUCCUGGGGAAGUGAGUGUGUGUGUCCUGUGUUACAUGUGUCCUGUGUAUGCAUGUACACCCCAGGGAAGUGCGUGUGUGUAUACUAUGUAUGCGUGUGUACCCUGGGGAGGUGUGUGUGUAUACUAUGUUACAUGUGUCCUCUGUAUGCAUGUACACCCCAGGGAAGUGUGUGUGUGUGUUACAUGUAUGCAUGUACAUCCCGGGGAAGUGUUUGUGUGGUGUGUGUGUACUGUGUUACAUGUGACCUGUGUAUGCAUGUGCACUGCGGGGAAGUGUGUGUGUGUGUCCUGUGUAUGCAUGUGCACCCUGGGGAAGUGUGUGCAUGUGUACGUUACAUGUUUCCUGUGUUACAUGUGUCCUGUGUAUGCAUGUGCACCCCAGGGAAGUGUGUGUGUGUGUAUACUGUGUAUGCACGUUCAGCAGUCUUUGUUUCAGUCUUGACAUGUGCCUGA
rnacentral:lncRNA from 1 species